AUGAGGAUCCUUGGGGUAGGCAGCGUGUUGGAGGCCGCUCGGCCGGUGGCGGCGAUGGUGGUGGUGGAGUUCGUCUUCUCGGCUAUGCAGAUCUUCAUCAAGCUCGCGCUCGACGACGGCAUGGACGUCCGUGUCCUCGUCGCCUACAGGCCCAUGUUCGGCGCCGCGUUCCUCUGCCCCGUCGCCUUCCUCAUUGAGAGGAAGAAGCGGCCACCAUUAACCGUCAAGGUUGUGACAGGGUUAUUCUUGUGUGGACUGUUCGGAGUCACCAUGAACCAGAACCUGUUUGUGCUUGCCCUCAAGCUGACGAAUUCGGCGACCAUCGUUACAGCUCUCAGCAACCUCACCCCUCAAGCUACCUUCAUCGUCGCAAUCCUGACUAGGUCGGUCGUCAUAGUAAUCACAGAUUUCUAUAAAAUCUCAGUUCCUUUCUGGGUGCUAGUCACAGACUCACAGGCCCCGCUUGGAAAAUGGAAAAACAGGAUGGAGACUUUGAAGCUCAGAAAGCCUAGCGGUCAAGCGAAACUGGCGGGAACCCUGGUCGGGCUGGGCGGCGCGAUGCUGCUGACGUUCUACAAGGGCCCGGAGAUGAGGUUCCUCCACCGUCUGGCGCACACCGGGCUCAGCCACGCCAGCGGCGAUCACCAGCUCCGCCCGCAGCCGGCCGCGGGUUCUCGGAUUCUCGGCUCGUUCCUCGCCAUCGCCGGCUGCUUCACCUAUGCGAUCUGGCUCACGAUCCAGGCCAAGGUCGUCCAGGUCUACCCGUGCCACUACUCCAUCGCUGCUCUGGUGUGCGUCUUCGGCGCGGUCCAGUCGACGCUGCUCACGCUCUGCAUCCACAGAGACGCCGACCACUGGAGGCUCGGGCUCAACAUCAGGCUCUACGCGUCGGCUUUCGCGGGUAUCGUGGCGUCCGGGUCCGCCUUCCCGCUCAUGUCAUGGUGCCUGCAGAAGAAAGGGCCCCUCUACGUCGCCAUGUUCGGACCUCUCAUCAUCGUCUUCGUCGCGGUCAUGAGCUCCGUCGUCCUCAACGAGGCCCUGCACAUCGGAAUUGUUCUUGGUGCUGUGCUGAUCGUGGCGGGGCUGUACAUGGUGCUGUGGGGCAAGGUCAAAGAGGAAGAUGAACAAGAAGCCGAUGCGCCAAAACUUGUUGGUCAAAAGGACGUGCUGGGCAAGGAGUCCGUUCCACAGGCUAACCGUGAAGUUAAUGAGGAAAAUAACUUUAGGCUAGUCAUAGUGAGAGACUAG
rnacentral:rRNA from 1 species